AAGUUGGUUCAGGGAAUUGUCAACAAAGGGACGAGAGACGCGCAACUCCGCUCCGCACUGUGCGCCAGCAUCCCCGGGGCACGGAGGGCGCUGCGGCCCGCCCGGAGACCCCCCCACCCAGGCUGGAUCCGGGCCCUGGGGCCCAGGGAGCGGGUGGGUGUGAGUGUGGGUGGGUGUGAGCGAGUCAGGGCGUGGGCCUGGGAGCGUCCGCGGGACUGUGCGACUGUCGCUGCCCUGCCUUCCCCGCCCCCUCUCCCUUCCGCCCUUCUCCCCCCCACUUUGUCACACUCCUUAGACAGGGACUGGGCGACCUAGAACGAGGUUCCCAUAUCGUGUUUUAAAAAGCAAAACUUAGUCUCUGUUUUGCUUUUUGUUUCAUUGUUUUUAGCUUUAAAGAGUAAGAGCAGCGCACCCGGCUCCCUCCUGCUAAUUAGAUUUCAGAUUCCCCUCUGGCCUCAGUGCUCAUUCCGGGGAAGACACCUGCUGAGAUGUCUUUUUCCCCCUCCCCCAACCAAACCACUCAGGUCCUACCUGCUCUUUCCCGGCUUGAUGCGGGCGUGUUUUCCUGUAUGUAUUUUUUCGUGCGGCCACAAAAAGCAUCAGCUGGGGUUCCCGAAGGUCAGAAAAUGGCUAUUGAUUAAUCUACUAGAAUAGUUGCCGAGAGAAAUAAAAACGACGUAAAAUAGCAGGGAACCUAUAAAUAAAGAAGCCAUAACUGGCUACUUGGAGUUGUUAAACGACUUAGCAUAUGAAAAAAUCGGAAAUGAGGCGCUGGGGAAGGAGCUGGGAUUGGCAGCGGCCUGGGUAAGUCGAGUGGAUCCGGGAAGAGGCCUGGUGUCUUCAGGUUAGACGCAGCGCCCAGGGGCGGCUGAAGAAACGUGAGGGGUGCGGGCAGUGACUUCCCGGGCGGCGGGCAUGGCCUUGGGGGAACCUGGGCAGACUUGGGCAUGCCAGCAUGCUGGGAUCUCCGUUGCUGCCAGCUAACGUGGAUUUUCUUCUCUUAAGGUGUGGACAAAUCCUCCAAGAUUUAACUUCCAAGAAAACCGGCGGCGGAGCGGGUGGAGGAGGCGAGGAUGUGUGGCCAAUGCACGCGGAGUGCAAGGCCGCCUAGUUGGGAGCCGCAAGAGCCUGCCUGGUGUGGCAGGCACACGGAACCCAAUCCCUGUCUGUCCGCUGCGGCCUGGGAGGGGAGCGCCGGCCUCACCAGAGGAAGGAGCACGAGGGGAGGAGUUCCGAGAGGAAAUAAUUAGUGAAAUAUUUGCAGAAGAUGCUGGGAUGUGGAUUUAAUUCCGGAUGGACAGUGGUGCUUCUGAUUCCCUCAGUCUGUUUCCCCACCCACGAUCUCCUCUUUCCUUGGCCUAGACACACCAAAAAUAAUUCAAUAAAAUAAAAAUAAAAAUUUAAAAAUCUGUAA
rnacentral:lncRNA from 1 species